rnacentral:rRNA from 1 species
AACGAACGCUGGCGGCAUGCCUAACACAUGCAAGUCGAACGAGACCUUCGGGUCUAGUGGCGCACGGGUGCGUCACGCGUGGGAACCUGCCCUUAGGUUCGGAAUAACUCCCCGAAAGGGGUGCUAAUACCGGAUAAUGUCUUCGGACCAAAGAUUUAUCGCCUUUGGAUGGGCCCGCGUUGGAUUAGCUAGUUGGUAGGGUAAAAGCCUACCAAGGCGACGAUCCAUAGCUGGUCUGAGAGGAUGGUCAGCCACACUGGGACUGAGACACGGCCCAGACUUCGAAGGGAGGGAGCAGGGGGGAAUAAGGGACAAUGGGCGAAAGCCUGAUGCAGCCAUGCCGCGUGAGUGAUGAAGGGCGUAGGGUUGUAAAGCUCUUUUUACCGGGAUGAUAAGGAGGGAACCGGGGGAAAAAGCCCCGGCUAACUCCGG